rnacentral:rRNA from 1 species
ACAACAGGGAUUGCCCCAGUAACGGCGAGUGAAGCGGCAACAGCUCAAAUUUGAAAUCUGGCCCCCGGGUCCGAGUUGUAAUUUGCAGAGGAUGCUUCGGGCGAGGUGCCUUCCGAGUUCCCUGGAACGGGACGCCACAGAGGGUGAGAGCCCCGUCUGGUCGGACACCGAGCCCGUGUGAAGCUCCUUCGAAGAGUCGAGUAGUUUGGGAAUGCUGCUCAAAACGGGAGGUAUAUGUCUUCUAAAGCUAAAUAUUGGCCAGAGACCGAUAGCGCACAAGUAGAGUGAUCGAAAGAUGAAAAGCACUUUGAAAAGAGGGUUAAAAAGUACGUGAAAUUGUUGAAAGGGAAGCGCCCAUGACCAGACUUGGGCCCGGUGAAUCACCCGGCGUUCUCGCCGGUGCACUUUGCCGGGCACAGGCCAGCAUCAGUUUGGCGCGGGGGAGAAAGGCUUCGGGAACGUGGCUCCCUCGGGAGUGUUAUAGCCCGCUGCGCAAUACCCUGCGCCGGACUGAGGUACGCGCAUCGCAAGGAUGCUGGCGUAAUGGUCAUCAGCGACCCGUCUUGAAACACGGACCAAGGAGUCGUCUUCGUAUGCGAGUGUUCGGGUGUCAAACCCCUACGCGGAAUGAAAGUGAACGCAGGUGAGAGCUUCGGCGCAUCAUCGACCGAUCCUGAUGUUCUCGGAUGGAUUUGAGUAAGAGCAUACGGGGCCGGACCCGAAAGAAGGUGAACUAUGCCUGUAUAGGGUGAAGCCAGAGGAAACUCUGGUGGAAGCUCGCAGCGGUUCUGACGUGCGAAUCGAUCGUCAAAUAUGGGCAUGGGGGCGAAAGACUAAUCGA